UAGAAGAAGAUUGCCUGGAAAUGGCCAACUACAAGGAAAACUCCCCAGAAGAAGCAGGCUGAAUAGCAAAAUAUACAUUUUCUACAACCAGUCAACCUACCUAUUCUUCUGAACAGUGAUUGCUGCCUUUUUGGCAAUCUUCUUGACUCCAUCCCUGGCAAAAACGGACCAAAGCCAACUCCUGAAGAGAAUCGAUGAGGACCAUAAUGCCAAUAUUGAUAUCCAUGGCAGCAUUGCUCUCAUCCAUGAUACUAAUCCUUGGAGUGAAUGGGAUGGCAUAUUGGAUUACAGCCGAGGUUAUUUGGCUGCCAAGCUGUUUAGUAAGAAGGUUUGCAUGCUGACCAAGAUGGACAAAGUUAUCCUCCCCAGUCUGGAAGUCCUCCAGAAAGCCCUACAUAAUAAGCAGUUACCCAGGAAUCAUACCUCCUCAAAAGGUGUCACCUAUGUGGUUUUACCCACUCGGGUUAAGAAUGUUGCUCAAUAUGGAAAGCCUAUCAGUGAUCUAUGUAGAGGGUUUCCCACCUACUUUGCACAGCAACGGCCUGAGGGCUGUGCCCUGGCACUGGAUCCCCAAUCUUGCUUCAAAGCACGGAUUUAUACCAACACAUAUGGUUUUGGCAUCCUCAUCUGUGGGGAGAUCCCAGGACUCUGAUGAACAUCAUUUUCAGCUACUGAAGGGUUGGAGCUCCUGCUGAUUUGUUAAGGAACCAUGGUUCUUUGCUUCCCAAGAGAGAAGCAAUUCUGCCUGUAUCUUGUAGAUUAUAUUGUUGAUUUCAAUAAAAUUAUU